UACGAAGGGGGCUAGCGUUGCUCGGAAUCACUGGGCGUAAAGGCGCGAUCGGCUGGGCGUCUUUAAGUCAGGGGUGAAAUCCUGGAGCUCAACUCCAGAACUGCCUUUGAUACUGAGAGUCUUGAGUUCGGGAGAGGUGAGUGGAACUGCGAGUGUAGAGGUGAAAUUCGUAGAUAUUCGCAAGAACACCAGUGGCGAAGGCGGCUCACUGGCC
rnacentral:rRNA from 1 species